AUGUAUUCUCAUGAAAAGGAUGGAGGUAACCCAAGACCAAAUGCAAUGAUGCAAGAAUUUCAGAAUUGUUUGGGAGAUUGUGGGUUAUAUGAUCUGGGAUAUGCCGGCGACUGUUUCACUUGGAGGAGAGGGGAGAUUAGGGAGAGACUUGAUAGGGUUGUAUGCAAUGUCGAAUGGUCAAAUAAGUUCCCAAAGCCGGGCAUCAUCAAUGAGGAGCAUGUGCAUUCUGAUCAUCGUCCCUUAAUCCUUGACACAGAAUAUUAUGGUGAGAAUAUUUUCAAUAGCCCAAAAAUCUGUGUGAAGCAAUUUGAGGCUAGAUGGCUUAAGGAAGAGACGGUGGGAGAAAUUGUGCGAACAGCAUGGGAAAAGGCCAAACUAGCGGGUGUUGAUCCGUCUCUUGCGGCACGUACACGGGCAGUGCAGGCUGAUUUACACACCCGGGACCGAGAGACUCUAAAAGGACCAAAGAGAAGGAUAAGUAAAUUAAAAAAAGAGCUGGAAAAGUUGAGGCGGGGAUCAAUGAAUGCGGAAUCUCGCUCUCGCCAGAAGGAAGCCCUUGUUCUCAUCGAGAAUUUGUUAGAUCAAGAGGAAAUUUUUUGGCUAUAG
rnacentral:rRNA from 1 species